CUAGGGUUCUGACUCCUGAUAUUAUCAGCACCCUCUGGCCAAUGGCAUGCCUGGAUGAAUGGUUUCCAGCGACUGUAAUUCUUUGUUUACAGCAGUGAGCUUCAGAGAGCUGCCUGACUGACACCAUGCAUGUGCAGCUCAAAUUUGAAGUGAUGGCAGGAGUCACUUUGCAGACUUCAGCAUUUACUUCAUUCUGUAUUCCUGAAAGGCCGUCAUGUUAACACGUGUGGAAUGCUAACGUCUAGUAACAUCUGAAUUUUCAGCAAUGGCUAACAUGACCAAUCCAACUACUUUUUAAAAGGGACAGGAGGAAUGCUUCAUCAACUUUCAAAUGUGCACAAGGAGUGUGGCUUCAAAAGGAUCCACUGAAACCAAAUAUGCCUUUUUUUAAAGUCUGAGUUGCAUUAGACGUGACUUCGCAUCUGGGGGUUGGCGGAGGACUGUGAACAGAGAUCAAACUUUCAAUCCAAUCUCCGCGAGCGGGGUGAAUGGAAGUGGAAGCACGGAGCAGAUAUUUGUAAUGUAAGAGGCGUAAGGCCCUGAGGUGGGGAAGAGCAGAGGAGGACUCCGGUACUCUGACGGGAAGAGUAAUGGAGAUAAGCUGGAAAGGGAAAAGCAAGGGAGUCUUGAGCAGGUGGGAAUGGGGUCUGACAGCAGACAUAGAGGAUUGGCAUCUGAGAAGCCUCUUUUGAUCACUAGUAUCAAAGCUAAAUGAUUAUCUGGAGGAAUAAGAACUCAUCUAGGAGUCAGGUUUCAGAGUAGCAGCCGUGUUAGUCUGUAUCCGCAAAAAGAAAAGGAGUACUUGUGGCACCUUAGAGACUAACACAUUUAUUUGAGCAUAAGCUUUCGUGAGCUACAGCUCACUUGCAUCCGAUGAAGUGAACCGUAGCUCACGAAAGCUUAUGCUCAAAUAAAUGUGUUAGUCUCUAAGGUGCCACAAGUACUCCUUAUCUAGGAGUCAGGCAGUCCAAAGUACAGCUGGGUGAAAUUUUUUGACUGAAACUCUUUUCAGUGAAAAAUACAGAUUCAGCAACACCAAAAUGUUUCACAAAUGUGUCAUUUUUGCUGGUUUAUUUUGAAACCUCUCCCUCCCCUCUCCCCAGUCAAAAUGUUCUGUUUUGACAUUUUCAAAAUGAAAUGUUCUGAUUUUUUUUGUUUGUUUCAAAAUUUCCUUUAAUUUUAUUUUCUAAAAAAUUCAAAAACCUUUCAAAAUGAUCAAUCGAAUGAAGCAUUUUUUUCAAAAUCUCCAACAAAAUGAAAAAUCCGCUAUUUGCCUAGCUCUGGACCCGAAUUUUAAUCCCAGCUACGCUUCUAACUAGUUGUAUGUAGGCAGUGAUGAGCUGCCAAAAUCUUAACAACGG